GGAGUUCAGACGUCUGCUCAUCCGAUCUUUUUGCCUUUUAGAACACAAGCCUUCUGAACUCCAAGAAGAAGCUUGAGUCUGACCUAGUCCAGGUCCAGAGUGAAGUGGAUGACACUGUUCAGGAAGCAAGGAA